GAUGAAGAACGUAGCGAAAUGCGAUACUUGGUGUGAAUUGCAGAAUCCCGUGAACCAUCGAGUCUUUGAACGCAAGUUGCGCCCGAAGCCGUCAGGCCGAGGGCACGCCUGCCUGGGCGUCACACGCCGUUGCCCCCCCGCGCCCCGCACCCAACUCUUUGGGAGCGACCGCGGGGCGGGCUGAUGAUGGCCUCCCGUGCGCUCCGCCGCGCGGUUGGCCCAAAUACCGAGUCCCCGGCGACGUGCGCCACGACGAUCGGUGGUUGAGAGACCUCUGUCGCAAGUCGUGCGCGCCCGUCGCGUCACGCGGGCUCGCAUAGCGCCUCGCGCCGCACCCGGUGCGGAGCUUUCAACGCGACCCCAGGGCAGGCGGGGUUACCCGCUGAAUUUAAGCAUAUCAUAAGCGGAGGA
rnacentral:misc_RNA from 1 species